UGUGAAAUUUUCUGAUAGUUACAAAUGAUAUUAUACAACUAAAGUAUUCGAUAAAUAAGCACUUUUAGUAGUGAGGAAUUCUUUAAUGAAAUUAAACAAACAUUUUCAACAUGUAGUACUCUUCAGAUUAUACAUAGAAUCAUUAUAUUCUAUGUAUAACCUGAAGAGGGCUACAUGCCAAAAACAUUUGUUUAGGCCACAGAUCUGAAACAUUUGUUUAAUUUCAUUAAAAGUUCCUCACUGCUGGAAGUGCUUAUUUAUUGAAUAUUUUAGUUAUAUUAAUGUAAUAGAAGCAGUUUAUGAUUAAUUAUGUUUGAUAUUGUACUUGUAAGUAAAUUCAGAAAAAAAUCAAAACUUUUGGAUGUGGUGGUGAUAUCAUAGUGAUAUCAAACAUCAGAACUUUUGUGACUUCAUACACUGACAUUUCAUGAUAGCAUCCAUUGUAAAUCAUUGAUGUCAAGCACUGAUGACAUUCUGUGAUGUCACAAACUGGUGAUGUUCUGGGAUAUCAUUGAUUGAUAUGUCAUACAUCAGAACUGUUUUGACAUCACACACUGAUGAUGUUCUGGGACAUCAUCCAUUGUUAUUUUGUAUGUUUGAAUAUUUGUGACAGCACUCAUUUCUAUGUCACAAUGAUAUUUACACAUUACAUUUUUGUGAUUCAUUGCUACAUCACAGUUACAUCACAAAACAAUGACAUUGCAGGUUCUAAUGUCAUCCACUGUUACUUCAUAUAUUGGAAUUAUUGUAACAUCAUUGCUACAUCAU
rnacentral:lncRNA from 1 species